AAGGGCGCGCCUUCGCCGACACCAUAGAGGUGGGCCUUUGGCGGCGUCAGAGGCGCGGGUGUUCGGCUACGUCACUGGGGCGCUACGGUUCCUGGAGCUGGGCAGUCUUCUCGUCAGAGUGGGGACUGGUAAGAGCGACCUCCCCGCCAGGUCCUGUGUGUUGCCGGCUGAAGAAGGGAUGAUGAUUAUUCCCCACCUUCUAAGAGACAAAGACCAACGAGCCACCACAGCCACCAGUCCCAGAACCCGCCAAUGCUGGGGAAUGGAAAAUGAGGGAGUUCAACUCUGGCCCUCACAAUCCAGUGGAGGAGACGAAACUCAUCUGCCUCUGUCCCUCUGGGCACACCUCAUGCCAGGUGCAUCUGUGGACAGGGGCCAUGCUCCUGGGCUUCCAAAGUUGGAGAAAGCUGCCAGGCUCAGACCCACCUAAGCUGAAGAUUCCCUUGAGAACAAGUACUGUCCUGUGGUUUCAUGGCCUUUCUUCCAUUUGUGGUUCUUGCGAAGUGGAAUUUAAAUGACAUCUUAUCAAGAUGGAUAAACCCUAGUUUCCCAGUGCUGGAAUAUAGAAAAUGGAUGGACAAGUAAAUCCCACUCAGUACCCAUAGGCCAGGCAUGGGGACCUCAACACACCUGAGCCCCAGACAUCACCUUUCAUUCUGGACCUACCAUGAAAGACUUCUGAAUCCAGGAAGAGAAACUGACUGGGCAACAUGUUAUUCAGGUACAAAAAGACUUGGACUGUAACUCAAAAAUGAUCAAAUAAUAGUGCAUGCAUCAAGUGCAAUGGGAAGCUCUUCUGGAGAGGGAGAGAAGCUUCCAGUUAAGGUGACAUUGAAGCCAAGUCCUGUAAGAUAAGGAAGAGUUGUAUGAGAGUGGGGAGGGAAGGGGGAGGUGGAGGGAUGGGGAUUGGGCUGGGAUGGGAUGGAGUGAGCUGCCCAGGCAGGGAAACCAGCACUAUACAGACCUGAACAAUGAAGAUGGCACAUUUUGUUCAGGGAAUGGUGAAUUAAGUGUGGCAGAAAUGCUUUGUAGAGACAGUAAUUUGCUUGUAUGGAAUUUUGCCCAAGAGACCUCAUUACAGUUUCUAAUUUUUUGAUGUUAUCAUGCAUCACUGCCCUUGUCAGAUAGUAUCAUGAUCACAAUAACAUCAAGCAUAAUAUUUCAUUGAUUCUCACAAAAACAGGUGGGUGCCACAGUUAUCCCCAUUAUAUGCACAAAAUGAUGAAGACUUGGGGUUAAUGAGCGAUUUGCCCAAGCUCACCUGAAUAUUAAGACUGAGUCAAAUGUUAGUCUGGUCUGACUUCAAUGCUUGCCUUGUUCAUGAGCACCAUGCAUUGCCUCUCCUAUGCAGUUAAGCAGGUAGACAGGUGAGAGAAGAGCCCGUGUGAUAUCGGGGGAAAUUCACCCCGAUAUUUCAUGUAGGUUCUUUUCUGUUUUCCCUGACUGUUGGCCGGUCUGAGAAAUAAAGGAAAAGAGUACAAAA
rnacentral:lncRNA from 1 species